rnacentral:rRNA from 1 species
CCUACGGGGGGCAGCAGUGGGGAAUAUUGGACAAUGGGGGCAACCCUGAUCCAGCCAUGCCGCGUGUGUGAAGAAGGCCCUCGGGUUGUAAAGCACUUUCAGUGAGGAAGAACGCCUGGUGGUUAAUACCCAUCAGGAAAGACAUCACUCACAGAAGAAGCACCGGCUAACUCCGUGCCAGCAGCCGCGGUAAUACGGAGGGUGCGAGCGUUAAUCGGAAUUACUGGGCGUAAAGCGCGCGUAGGUGGCUUGAUAAGCCGGUUGUGAAAGCCCCGGGCUCAACCUGGGAACGGCAUCCGGAACUGUCAAGCUAGAGUGCAGGAGAGGAAGGUAGAAUUCCCGGUGUAGCGGUGAAAUGCGUAGAGAUCGGGAGGAAUACCAGUGGCGAAGGCGGCCUUCUGGACUGACACUGACACUGAGGUGCGAAAGCGUGGAUAGCAAACAGGAUUAGAUACCCUAGUAGUC